GUAGGGGGCAAGCGUUGUCCGGAUUUACUGGGCGUAAAGAGCGUGUAGGCGGCCAAACAGGUCCGUUGUGAAAACUGGAGGCUUAACCUCCAGACGUCGACGGAAACCGUGUGGCUAGAGUCCGGAAGAGGAGAGUGGAAUUCCUGGUGUAGCGGUGAAAUGCGCAGAUAUCAGGAAGAACACCAAUGGCGAAGGCAGCUCUCUGGGACGGUACUGACGCUGAGACGCGAAAGCGUGGGGAGCGAACAGGAUUAGAUACCCUGGUAGUCCACGCCGUAAACGAUGGGUGCUAGGUGUGGGAGGUGUCGACUCCUUCCGUGCCGUAGCUAACGCAUUAAGCACCCCGCCUGGGGAGUACGGCCGCAAGGCUA
rnacentral:rRNA from 1 species